rnacentral:lncRNA from 1 species
UUUUGGUGCCUCUCCACUCCCAAACAGGUAACCCAAGGAACUUUGUCCUCCACCACUGCUAACUCCACGACCCAUUCUCUACAACUCCUUAGAUACAAAUCCAAACUCUGACCAUUCCAGGCAGAUGAUAGAAAGCAAACAGCAGGAAUGUAAUAAAUCAAGAACAAGAAAGAACAGAAAAUGUUAGAAGCUAUAAUGUUGGAGGAUUCUAACUGUGGGGAGUUGGCACAUCAAGCCUCAGUUUGGAGAACAGGAAAACACAUUUAAAGAAUUCCACAGUAAUUGCCAUAGGGCUAGAAAAAACUUAUAAUAAGAGAACAAAUCAAAAUCAGAACAAAAGAUAAAUGGAUGUAAAAUUAAACAAUAUUUAAAAAUCGAAUUGUUUACAAAACAUUAGCAAAAAUUUUCUUUCAAACUAAACUAUAGCAGUAUAGACAGACUUUUUUAUUGUGCAUCAAAAACUGAUCUGUUCCUAUCACCCUCACAAUGCUCAGAGAUCAUGCAUGUCUUAAACUAAAUAUCAACAUAACACCCAAUAGGCUUAUGGAAACAGAAAUUUAAAAUAUUUUGAUAUUUUUCCUAUUAAAAGAAGGCUGUUCCUGUUGGUUUCCCAAAUUUUUUCUUCACGUCUGAGUGUAACCCUUUGGCCUUAAGAAGCUUCACCUAUAAAACCCAGAUAAAGAUCAUAAAAGAACAUUAAAAAAAAUCACUAUCACAAUAAAGAUGAAGAGCCACCACAUUUCAGUUGAAAUAUCACACACUGCAACAACAUAUCUAUCAGGUCAGCAUCUAAUAAACACAUUAAAACAAACCUUCUUGUGUCACAUUCCUCAUUACACCAUUUUCCUUAACAAACAAGACGAUCUCCAAAAAAAAAGAACAAGAAAUGGAGCUCCAGAUCCAGUGAAAAUACGUUGAGAAAACAUCAAAUCAGAAACAGUAGAGAAGGUUAAAGAUCGAAUUGGACAGCAUAUCUGGAUGAAAGGUGCGGCGUCGUAAUGCGAGUGUAUGAGCUUUCUCAAAUGUAGAAGAACACGAGACGGAUAGAGAUCUAGGGUUAGGGCUUGAUACCUUUCGCUCUGGAGCCGAUAGAGAGGGGAGAUCUGAGAUUCCUGGACAAGAACCAGAAGCGUAGAAGCGUAGAAGGAAC